rnacentral:rRNA from 1 species
AGAAUCAACGCUGGCGGCGUGCCUAACACAUGCAAGUCGAACGAGAAAGUGGAGCAAUCCAUGAGUAAAGUGGCGCACGGGUGAGUAACACGUGACUAACCUACCUUUUAGUGGGGGAUAACCUAGGGAACCUGGGCUAAUACCGCAUAAUACCUACGGGUCAAAAGCAGCAAUGCGCUGAAAGAGGGGGUCGCGGCCGAUUAGCUAGUUGGCGGGGUAAUGGCCCACCAAGGCAGUGAUCGGUA